AACGAACGCUGGCGGCAGGCUUAACACAUGCAAGUCGAACGGAUCCUUCGGGAUUAGUGGCAGACGGGUGAGUAACGCGUGGGAACGUACCCUUUGCUACGGAAUAACUCAGGGAAACUUGAGCUAAUACCGUAUGUGCCCUACGGGGGAAAGAUUUAUCGGCAAAGGAUCGGCCCGCGUUGGAUUAGCUAGUUGGUGGGGUAAUGGCCUACCAAGGCGACGAUCCAUAGCUGGUCUGAGAGGAUGAUCAGCCACACUGGGACUGAGACACGGCCCAGACUCCUACGGGAGGCAGCAGUGGGGAAUAUUGGACAAUGGGCGCAAGCCUGAUCCAGCCAUGCCGCGUGAGUGAUGAAGGUCUUAGGAUUGUAAAGCUCUUUCACCGGUGAAGAUAAUGACGGUAGCCAGAGAAGAAGCCCCGGCUAACUUCGUG
rnacentral:rRNA from 1 species